GAAAAAAAAAAGGAAAGUCAAGGAAAAGAGCAAAACAAAGAGAAAGCGUAACUUUUUUGCUGUGAGUUGUCUGUUCGCACUUCUCUUUUUUCCCCCUUCUCCG
rnacentral:ribozyme from 11 species